rnacentral:piRNA from 1 species
UCAUGGAGGAAAGAGCAAAUCUUGAAUUGUU